GCGCCUAGCUUCUAGGCGUUGCACUAGUGGUUGCUUCAUAACAAAAUGAAGCAACCACUAGUGCAACGCCUAGAAGCUGGGCGC
rnacentral:pre_miRNA from 1 species